UUGACCUCAAAUCGGGUGAGACUACCCGCUGAACUUAAGCAUAUCAAUAAGCGGAGGAAAAGAAACUAACAAGGAUUCCCCUAGUAACUGCGAGUGAGAGUUGUAAUUUAGAGAAGCGUCUUCCGCGCCGGACCGUGCACAAGU
rnacentral:rRNA from 1 species